rnacentral:rRNA from 1 species
ACGCCAGUCUGCAUGGAGCCGACCUUGAAAUACCACCCUUUAAUGUUUGAUGUUCUAACGUUGACCCGUAAUCCGGGUUGCGGACAGUGUCUGGUGGGUAGUUUGACUGGGGCGGUCUCCUCCUAAAGAGUAACGGAGGAGCACGAAGGUUGGCUAAUCCUGGUCGGACAUCAGGAGGUUAGUGCAAUGGCAUAAGCCAGCUUGACUGCGAGCGUGACGGCGCGAGCAGGUGCGAAAGCAGGUCAUAGUGAUCCGGUGGUUCUGAAUGGAAGGGCCAUCGCUCAACGGAUAAAAGGUACUCCGGGGAUAACAGGCUGAUACCGCCCAAGAGUUCAUAUCGACGGCGGUGUUUGGCACCUCGAUGUCGGCUCAUCACAUCCUGGGGCUGAAGUAGGUCCCAAGGGUAUGGCUGUUCGCCAUUUAAAGUGGUACGCGAGCUGGGUUUAGAACGUCGUGAGACAGUUCGGUCCCUAUCUGCCGUGGGCGCUGGAGAAUUGAGGGGGGCUGCUCCUAGUACGAGAGGACCGGAGUGGACGCAUCACUGGUGUUCGGGUUGUCAUGCCAAUGGCACUGCCCGGUAGCUAAAUGCGGAAGAGAUAAGUGCUGAAAGCAUCUAAGCACGAAACUUGCCCCGAGAUGAGUUCUCCCUGACUCCUUGAGAGUCCUGAAGGAACGUUGAAGACGACGACGUUGAUAGGCCGGGUGUGUAAGCGCAGCGAUGCGUUGAGCUAACCGGUACUAAUGAACCGUGAGGCUUAACCUUACAACGCCGAAG